rnacentral:rRNA from 1 species
ACCUCGCGGUCCGUACGUGGCCGUCGAGGGGUGUUGCGUGAAGGUGGAUCCGUUCCGUCCGGGCCGCUCACCGCCUAAGUCAUUGCUUGAAUGCAGCCCCAAGGAGGGUGAUAGGCCCGUGUGGCGGCGCCUGUCCCAAGGGUGUAGGCGGCUCCGGACGGGUGGGUCUUCACCGUAGAGUCGGGUUGCUUAGUACUGCAGCCCUAAGCAGGUGGUAAACUCCAUCUAAGUCUAAAUACAACCACGAGUCCGAUAGGCAACAAGUACCGUGAGGGAAAGCUGAAAAGGACUUUGAAGAGAGAGUUCAAAAGGACGUGAAACUGCUAGAGGCCUAAACGGGUGGAACCGCGAAGGACGAACGAGGGGAUUCAGCCCGCCGGCGGCCGGCGUGCCCUCAGGCUCGGUACGGCCGUCCCGCGCAAGCGGGCGGCCAAGAGACCCGGCGUGAACUGGUAUUGCCGUGGCUCCGGCCUGGGUCGUCCGGCUCGCACGGGCGGGCUUACUUCUCCCUCCAUUAGUCAGGCGCCGCGACUCGUUGCGGGGGCCCCCAGGGCCGCGACGGACUGGUAGCCCGGGC